UUUCAGCAAGUACAGACAUGUAACUCUGGGUACUUCCCUUGCUUCAGCCCCUCUCAGCAGUGACUACAUACCGUUGUUUCUUUCUGGUAUGUGAUGCCAUGGCAACUGAAGGGUGCCUAGAUAGGCCUAAUAACUUUCAAGAUUUCAUUUCCGUGAAUUUCCGGUUCUGUCUCAUAGACUCUAUGCUUGGAUUAGUUAUUCAUUACUUAUUUACGGUCCAUUUUAACUAACAACUGUGAGCAGAUCUGAAAUACAAGGUGCAGCUCUUUUUACCAAAUAUGACAUAUUCUACCCCAUGGUCUUUAAAAAAACACUGCAACUAGGAGAGAGUAAACAGACUUGAAAUAACAUUUAAACGAAGGCGUCCUAAAAAUAUAAGUCUUUAAGGAUGUUUGUGAGUGGAGAAAGAAGAAAUAAAAAAAAAAGAAAGAAAGAACAAAAGAAAAAAAGAGAAAGAAGACCGUAUUCCCUAAACUAGCAAGCACAGAUGGAAUUUUCACCUCAAGAGAGGAACAAAGCAAAGUCCUUGAGAUGAUUUUUUUGACAUCCAUGUCUCAGCAACCACAUAUCAACUUGGUUAUGAUUGGAAACUCAGAACUAUUCCUCCAUAUUGUUUUGCUGGUUUGCAGCCAUACCCAGAGCACUUCAUUACUACAAAUGUACACAUGUGGCUAAAGGUUGACAUAUUCACCUUUCUUGUGAUUCAGUGGUACCUGCCUCAGUAUCUUUGCAACAGAUGUACAAAUGUAUGCAGUAAAACUCUCUCUAUGAAAUUA